rnacentral:ncRNA from 1 species
AAUAAGAAAUUGGGGUGCCAUUGAGCUGAGAUUAUACCCAUUGAACCUGAUGUAGUUAGUACUACCGCAGGGAAAAUACGUAAUAAAAUUG